GGGUCCAUUGUAAUUUUUCCCCCAAUGCAUGGGUACAAGUUUUAGUCAGCAGAGCCCAGCAGCAGCGCCACACACCAGCCGAGCUCAGGAGCGCGCCCCCGCUGAGGGGAAGACCCGCCCUACUCGUGAAUUCGCCUUUGUUCCGAGUCGCGCUUCCCGCCGCGGGCGCGGGCUUUCUUUGUUCCUCUGCCUCGCCGCCAUCUUGAGCACAGGGCACCGCCGGGGGAGAACCAGGCAUCGCUACGUCGCGGAUGCUUUGGGACGGUUGCACUGGAGCCUUGGCCCACAUGACCGGAACUGCUGUAACCUUCGUUGGAAAUGAGGGCCCGGCUUUACCUCCACGUUUACGGGGCCUUCAGCACUGCUGCUCCGUCCCGGUAACAAAACCCCUUCAAAUCGAAACAUCCUUCCAGAGGAAUUUAAAAGCUUCAAGACCUCGCCUUUUCUUUCACCAAGCCAAGGGAAAUCUAACCAAAAGAUUUUUUCCCCAAAGGCAAAUACAUAUGGUUGGUUAGCGAUUCUCCGGUAGAAAUCUCGGCAGCCGCGCGAACCAAAGUUCCUUUCACGUUUUAUUUUCGUUUUCUUCUCUGAUUAUUAAAACUUGUGAUUCUGAUUUAAUUAUCUAACCGUUCCUCCUGCGCUCAGUAACUUAACUCCGUAUUAAUGUUUACUUUUCUACUCCUUGUUUUCUCUGAUUCUGGUAGCGACAUUAAUCCAAACUGUUCCCAUCUUGUAGCCAAAGUAUAGAAAUAAAUACCCCUCCCCGCCCCCGCCCUUACAGUUUUCUAAAGUUAGAGGCGUGCUUCCUAGUACAGUUAAGGGUAUUAUUAGCAAGAGGCAUAAGUUGUAAAGCAGAGUGGCGCAGCGGAAGCGUGCUGGGCCCAUAACCCAGAGGUCGAUGGAUCGAAACCAUCCUCUGCUAGUUUUAGCUUUUUCUGAAUUGCUAGAAAAUACCCUGAAAAUAAGUGUGAAAACCGUUUCCGUGAUUUCUUCUGGUUGCCAAAGUAACCGUGUUAUUAUUGUCUCCAGUUUUCAUGACAGCGUUCAUUGUCUUGUGAUGCUGUGAAAGUGCUGAAUUAAGAGAGGAGGAGUGGAAGCCCAGAUCUUGUUAUGCUUCCUUCUAUUCAUAAUCCAGAAAGCACUGUUUGUAAGAAAUUGAGACCUUGUAGUUAAAGUGACAAACUAAAAAUCUCCUGGGCCAUCCCUGCGCAGAUUCUUUGCAACUACUAGAGUUUUAAUCUUUGGAGUAAAUAAGUAACUGAGACAAGAGUGCAGAGUUUGGUGACCUUAAUUGUACGCUGACCUCAGAAGACCACUUCCGCCGCUAUUGUAAUACCUUCCUUUUCAACCUCUAACAGAACUAUUCUCUAUGCUUAUUUUUUAAAUAUAUGUGUGUACUGUUUUAUAUAUUUUUUCCUCUCUCAGAAAGGAUUCCUAUUCAGAUAUUUAUGUUACAUACUGUGCUAGGAACUAAGAAAACUCAUUAAGUAGCCUACAGCGUAGAUAUGCUUUUAAAACAAUAUGUAACUAUGUACAGUACACGUGUGUACAGUACAGAUAUUUCUUUAAAAGGUUGUACACUAAGUGCAACGGGGGAAAGGGAAAAUAAUGUUUCCAGUAGUCCUAUGACCACCCAGUAGUUGGUGAUUCGCUGGAAGGAUUCACAUGAAUCAAGAUAUAUCCAAGGUUAAGAUUUAUUACAGCAAAGAAAAAAAGUGUAGACACAAAAAGGAAAAGAUAUACACAAGCAAAUACUAGAGAAGCCUACCUUGUCCUCCAUCUUCAAGGAUGACAUGGACGUUCUUUCUUACUUGAGUGGAAAAGUCAUGAAAAGAAAGACAACAAUCAUGCUCAAAAAUCAUUUUGGCUGAAUUUCCAGGCCAAUAAUUUUCUCAAAGAUAAGGCAGAGUCUCCAACAAGGCUGUGCAUAUGCAACGUUUUGGCAUCCUUUAUGUGCUAUGUGCCAUAUACUCCCUCUAUGGAGUACCCAAGACCGAAAUAAUUGUUAGUUCUUCUCUUUCACAAGGCGGUACUCCUUGGCCCCAAAUAACCCCUGUAAUCUCGAAUUUCCAUUUUUCUAAAGAUAGGGCGCGGGUGGCUCGGGGACAGUUGCCUUUUUGACAUUAAGUAGCUUUCACGAUUCAGGAGGAGACAGAAAAUUUACUAAGUGUCUCAGGAGACCUGUGUCCUUAGAGACCACGUGGCCUAACGGAUAAGGCGUCUGACUUCGGAUCAGAAGAUUGAGGGUUCGAAUCCCUUCGUGGUUAGUCUUGACUUUUCACUCCAAAGCUACAACCUCUUCUCUGUUAGUCCUGAGUUCCAGCUGCUGGAAUCUGUCACUGGUUUCCACUCUUCUCCUGUCUUUUCCAUCUGAACUUCUUUUUUUUUCCUUUGGUUUUAUUGCUGUCAAAAGGAUGAGAACAGGUUUUAUUCAAACAGAAAUUACAGAACAAAAUAUUAAGGUCAUUAAAAGAGCUGGACACUUGCAAAGUGUAUGCAAACAGGAAGGCAGAGAAGAUAACCACAAAACAUAUACAAAAACUUAUUUCUGCACCUAAAUAACUGAAUUUAAUAAUAAGUUAGGAUGAAGAAAACUUAAUUUCCAAUGUCGAGUUCUUAGUGAAACACAUGAUGUUCCCAGAUUCAAAUCAUAUGGAGGCUUAGCUCUUUUCUAUUAAACAUAUUCCUCUUUCUCUGUUUUUUAGAAACAAUAGAAUAGAUUAGCACAUUUAAAAUUAUCUUUUGCGUGGGACUCUUUUCAGCCCUAUGGACUGUAGCCCACCAGGUUCCUCUGUCCAUGGGAUUCUUCAGGCAAAAAUACUAUGGGUUGCCAUCUUCCCAACCCAGGGAGGCAGCCUGUGUCUCCCUCUGUUACAUUGCACCGGGGUAGCGGGGGUUUCUUACCCACUGAGAAGCCCCAAAUAAUCCUUUAAUGUGUAUUAAAAGAAGUGACAAAUACCCUAGGUA